UAUUUGGAAAUCAAGGACAGAUCCAAGGACGUUAUUAUAAGCGGGGGCGAGAACCUGAGCAGCGUGGAGGUGGAGUCAGUGCUGUAUACGAACCCGGCUGUCGACGAGGCGGCGGUUGUGGCGAGGCCUGACGAGUUUUGGGGGGAGACGCCGUGCGCGUUUGUGAGCUUGAAGAGUGAUGUGACGGCGAAGCCAACGGAGAAUGAGAUCAUGGAGUAUUGCAGGAAGAAGCUGCCGAAAUACAUGGUGCCAAAAACGGUGGUGUUUAAGGACGAGCUUCCCAAGACUUCGACCGGGAAGAUUCAGAAGUUUGUGCUCAGACAGAUGGCUAAGGGUUUGGGUUCGUCGAGGCUGAGUCGGAUGUAACUUUAAAUAUCAAUUAAUUAAUUAAUGAUUGCAUUGUCAAAUUUCAACCCAUUUUGUUCAUGUAAGUGAUUUUUCUGGGCAGUGGUGAUGAUCAAUGUUUGCUCACGACACUACAGAGUGGAAGUGGCAUUUCAUUAUGAAUGUAUAUCUUUCAUUGAACAGUGCCUUUUUAAGCAUAUUUCAAAUAUUAUUGGAGUGGAAUUUAUGUAGCAAAUGUGAACAAUUUGAACAGCUGGUGAUGUUGUUGCUUUCUAUUACCUAGACUGUAAUGAAUGUAUUCAAUUUGGAUUUUUAAGAAUUUUAAUUCAUAAAUUUUGUGUAUCAGGAUUUUAAGAUAGUUUAUUAAAAUCGUUAGAAAUCCGAAUGUAUUCAAUUAGAAUUUAAAAAAAAUUAAAGAAUUAAAGAGAAUUGAAGAGAUUUCGUAGUGUAUUUUAAGCAUAUACAAAUCUUACAUCUCUCCAUGAGAUUUCGAGAGAAUUCAAUCAAAAUUUUAAAUAAAAUCUUUACAAAUCAAUUAAAUCCCUUAAAAAUCUAUCAAUUUAUAAAUCUAUUUAAAUCUCUCAAAUUCUCAAUUGAAUAUAUUAUUAUAAAUAUUAUAUUAUUAUGAAAUCACAUCAGAGAACACUGACAAGGCACUGACUUGAAUGCGAUCCAAAAUCAUAUUAAACAGGGCAGACAUAGGGCCACUCCUCUUGCCGGAAAUAUCGCUCAGGAGCAAGUAGUCGCCCCUCUGGUUUCGUCGGAAAAGCUGGAACGGUUCUGCUGCUGCGCAGCCGGCACUGCGCGCGGCGGUGUUUUGAUAAUUAACUAUAUCAGACGCCAAACAGCUCGUUUUGCUUAUUAAAAAAAAAUAUCAGACGCCAAACGGCGUGCUUUUGGUUGUUUAAAAACCAAAAAAAAAAUAUUAUCAUUAGGGGAACCACGCGUCCUCCAAUCCUCCCACCCAGCCCCCACACACGGCCACCUUCGAAGAGAGCAGAAGAAGACAGAGGAGACAACACUUAGGCCCCUUCCGUCACAUACAGCCUUCACUUUCCAGCUUUCAAGCCAACAAAAUCAAAGUUCCAAGCCAAGCCUAUAUUCAAGGUAACUACCUGAUUUUCAAAUUUAAAUCUCUAAACUUAAUUGAUAAUUUAAUAUGAAAUUUUGUCUAGUUAAUAAGGAAUUAUAGUGUUAUAUGCUUAUUGAUUAUUGAUAUGAAUCAUAUGUGUGAAGCUAAAAAUAAUCCUAAAAAUCAUUUUGCUGACACAUGAAUUAUUUCCCAAGAAGGACGACUGCCCCUAUUAAAUAACAGGGAGCAGCCUCAUUCACAACACGCAGCUAAGAUAGACCAGGCAGAGAUCAACGACUGCUCAAGGCACCCCUGCUCGUAGGAAAAGUCAAAGGUAUUUAUGAAAGAAUAAUCUCUUAUUCUUAUCAUAAAUACAUUCCUAAUCAGAAAAAACUUUUUUCAAUUAAGUAAUCAUAAUCCCAUUUAUUUAGGAUAUUUACCUAAUUACUCUAAGAUAUUUAUUUAUACAAAUAUCUUGGAAUGUUCUCACCCAAAAUCCACCAUAGGGCCGACCACCCUUAAACCCUAGAGGGCCGGCCUAUCUUGUCUAUUUCUCCUAUAAAUACACACUUCAUCUCCAAAAUCCACAAACCCUUAAACCCUUAAACCCUAAAGAGGCUUUUUGCUUUCCACAAACACUCAAAAGCAUUAUUUUCAAAAUUCUAACUUUGGCAUCACAGAUUCUUCGGCCAAAACCCCUCAUUCAUCGUGGGUGCAUGAGGCUUUUGGCCUUAAUCUUAGGUGUUAUUAUUUUGCUGGUGCAAAUUCGUCAAUCAAAGGAAGGCGGAAAUUUGCAUCCACAAAUUGGUGCUUUCAUUGAAAGCUCUGAUCCGAAGACUCGAAGAAGACUUUUGCUUUCAACUUCCUUCAUUCGUAGAUCCACGACUACGAUGGCAGGAAAUUCAGAAACUACAACCAAUGGGACCCCUUACGUUUAAGGACAUGAACUAAUCGAUGAAGAUCGUGACGUGGUUCCACGUCGUCGUUACUUGAGGUUUACCACAACAAAGACUACACAUUUGCCACCACAGCAAAGACAUGGACCAACCCUCGCUACAGUGGCCUACAUGGCAACCUCAACUCAACACAAGGAAACUCUAGGGCAGGGAGGCCCACGACACAAACAGCCAUCAAUCGUAGACCCAAACAACUACUCGCCCUCGACAGAAGCCUUUAGCGCCUGCCACCUUCAGUUGGACAAGAGCUACUUAGACCGAGGUAGCCCAAGCCACGCCAAUCGAGCUAGCCCAGCGCCCAUGCGCCCAACCUGCUCCCGCAAGCUUCCAGACGGUCCAUCAUAGUCCCAGACCAAUUCAACUAGCCCAAAUCCAGAUCCCAAUGUCGACGGUUGAACCAAGGGAUUUUCACCCCCAACUUACUGUAGAUCUGACCUAUCCUGGCUCAAGUUUUGCACCCGGAGUCCCUUACACUUCCACAACUCAAGUAGAUGUCUACCGUCCCAGUUCUUCCACUCCAAAUGGCAAACAACACAUAUCCUGACAGGUUGCUGAACUGACAAGCGUCCUCGCGCAAUAGAUUACCUUGGUGAGUCAGCUCCUGCAGCGCAUCGAGAUACAAUGUGCCUUAGACAAAAUGUCCAGAAGUAGGACAAAGGCAAGCAAUGACGUUUCUCUCCAACGGCGUCUUGGUAAGCAACCCAUCGACCAUCCAAGAACCGAGCUUUCUGGCAGUGUAGAUUCAUGCCUGGGCCCUCGAGAUAGCGUAGACUCUUGUCUUAGCACACGAAUGAGCGUGCACUCUCGCUUAGGCCCCCAGACGAAUAUACAUUCAAGGUUGGGGCCACACUCCGAUAAUUGACAUAGACAACCUUCCAAGCGAAGUGUUUAUACGCGGUUAGGCCCGUAAUGAGCAUCUUCCAUUUUACAUCGGAGUAGGCAGCACGGCGGACGAGGAGAAGUAGUCGCACAAUCCGGCUCAAGUUCAACCGGUAUCCUACGAGUAAUCUGCUCGCCUACUAGGAACGUACUACAUGCACAACAGCCGCGACAUAGACAAGCCAAGUAUAAGGAAGAGCAGUUGAGACCAGCAGGUCAUGACCAGGGGUAACCGGAAGCCUUGCUGCCUCGACAGAGGAAAAUUCAAGAAGAAGUAAAGAGGCUCUUAACUGAGCGAUUGCGCAGAUUCCAACGUAUCGAUACCACUGACGAAGCCCUUCAUAGGGACGUGGCACACAUGGGCAGACCACCUUUCACGGACGAGAUCUAGUAGACGGAACCCCCGCGUAAGUUCAAUACACCACACUUCACCCUAUUCAAGGGAGAUAAAGACCCGGAAAUGCACUUAAAGCACUACCGGAACAUGAUGAUCCUCUACGGUUCCAACGACGCCUUAAUGUGCAAGGUAUUCGCCACUACUUUGCAGGGCGAGGUGCAGGAUUUGUUUCAUACCCUACCUCCAUAGUCCAUCUGGAGUUUCGAUGAGCUUUCUAUAGUUUUCACUAAGAAGUACUCAUCCUACUGCUCGAUCAAGGAGAAGUCUGAUCAUCUCUUCAAUAUCAAGAAGAAUCCAAAGGAGUCGCUACGGGACUAUGUCAAGAGAUUCGUCAAUCAAAGAAAGACGGAAAUUUGCAUCCACAAUAUGAGUACUGAUAAAUGAAAUUGUUGAUUAUUGAUGAAUGAAAUUGUUAAUUAUUGAUUAAUUGAAUUGUUGAUUAUUGAAUCAUUUAUAUAACUAUUGAUAUGAUUAAUUGAAUAGUUGGUUUACUUAGUUGUUAGUCAUACCAGACUCUGCUCUAGGAUUACUGAGUCUAAGACUUUUAUUCCCAUUAUAUAGUUACGUGAGGAAAUGAUAUAAUAAGAAACAAUGCUUAAAUCCUCCUUCAAAUAUUUCGAGUUGUCAUCCUUCGCAUAUUCCCAAGCUGAGUCUACGAUAUUAUUUAUCUCAACUGUGGGUGUGUUUUAUCCAAUGGAUAGUCAUUCUAAACAUUCCCCUAAACAUGGUCUGUACGUGAGCGACUCUGAAUUUUUUUCACUUAAUUUCUUUAUUUUCUUAUUUGUGUCAUCUUACUAAGCUAUCCGUAAUAUAUUUGGCUAUUAUCUGUUGAAUUUUUUUUCUUAGAGAAGGGUAUUUUAGGCAUUUCAAAAUCUAAAAGAUACAGAUAAAAAUCGUCGGCCCUUUACAUCAUUUUUUUGUAAAUUUGAUCACAGUAGAUUGAGUCUGUGGGCGAGAGUAGCUUAAGUUCAUCGACAUUAUUCUAAACAACACAAUGGCGUUGAAGGCGAUUAUGGGAAAUUUUCUGCUUGGAAACAUGUUUUUACAGAGAUAAAAUUUCUAAUUGACAACCAUCACUAGUGUUGGUCAUUAGGUCACAUAUAAUCAUAUUUGAGAUACAUCAUUGCCCAUAGUUAUCUAUCUCGCUUUUCUAUGUGACCGGGCUGAUAUUGAUUGUAUUUGGGGCUUCUCCUUUUAACUCUUAAUUUGAAAAAAAUACGGAUGAAAAAAAAUAGUAGCUUAAGUUUAGGGUUGGAGACCUCUAAUGUAACUUGGAUAAAAGUAGGGGUGUGACGCAGCAUGAAGAUACAUAGAGGGAUCCUCACAUUCACCCUUAAUGAUUCAUCUGGAAUCCACUAGAAAAGUGAGAGAAUUCUGAAAAACUAUAUUGAUUACUCUGGAAUACAAAGUUGAUCCUUAAGGCAACACUUCCAUUGCCUAUUUAUUCUAUUUGUAAUUCGCAUUAUUAAUUAUACAUUUUGAAUGCUAUUUAAAUCAUGGCGUGUAAUACUCAUGACCUAUUCGUCUUCCCCUUGCGCCUAUCAAGCUGUGCUUCAAAUUCCUCCGCUAAACGUUUUUCGUCAGGUGGGAAAUUUUGCCAUAAACCGAUUUACCAACUAAACCAUACCGGUCGGUUCAUAAUGGUAUGGUAUAGUUUUGGGAUUUUUUCAUAAUCUGUUGGCAUUAUACUGAACCGACAAUUAAUGGUAUGGCUUUGGUAUUGGAUUUUGUAUACCGGCGGUAUGCCAUACCUACCAAUACUAUAUAUUUUAUAUUUAGAUAUUUUAGGUAUUUUUUACAUGCUUGACAUGUGAAGAAAUGGAAAAAUGUAAGUAUUGCUAUAUUUUUUCUAAUUCUAGUUAUAGUACUUCAAUCCAAUGUUUAUUGAUAUUUUUAGUUUAUUAUUCAAUAUUACUUCUUAUUCUAAUCAUACUUUUUUAUGUAACAUUUGAAUUGAAAUAGUUGAUGGUUCUACAUCUCAAGUAGGAACAUCAAUUCCAAGUGCUUCGAAGAAUUGAUUCAUGGAAGAUUUCACAUGCAUUGGUUGAUGCUACUUCAGUGAUGUUGCAUUAUCAAAACAACAAGUUAUUUGUUUUGGGAUUUUAAUAAGGGGAUAUGGUUAACAAGUUAUUUGUUUUGGGAUUUGAAUAAAGGGAUCUUAUAACCAGAACCAUACUUUUGAGUUUUUUUAUUUAUACAUUAGUUGCUACAAUUGAAUUUGGACAAUUAUAUUAGUUAGACUUUUGAGUUUGUAAACUUAUGACUAUUUGGAUUAUGUUUGCUGACAUUGACAUUGUUUUAUUAAGUUUUGAUUUGAUUUUCAUUUUAACUUGUUAAGUCAUGAUUAUGUUGGCUUAUCAUCAAUUGAAAAAUGCAGCAACAACUUUUUUUUCUCUUUUCUGGUUUGUUGUUUACGGGUUGAUGCAUAGUCUUGAGCUAUUGUUUUUGUAGCUUAUUUGCAAACCAUCGGUUGUGCCAUUUACCAACCGAAUCAGCCAAUAAUUUCGGCUGAAUAUAUUUUUGGCAACAGCAAGAAGACGGUUGGCUAACGGUAACUGAUUUUUUGUAGUUAUGUAUAUGUGGCUGGCAGGUGGCACAAAGAAUUUGACACAAUUUGCCAACCAAACCCAACUUUAGAUAACCGUGGUUUACCAUCAGUUGUCUCAUUUAAAAAAAAAAAAAAAACUAAAUAGAUACGACUAUGGGCUAACAAGUAGCCCCCCAUCUAGGAAAUCAUUUGUGGACCGUCCCAGUCCAACCCUUUCGGGCCGGGUUACCGAAUCAGUCUUUCCCUAAUAGGCUAAUGUCAACAUCGAGUCUUAAAGUUGAGGGACUUUGAUUGUCUGCCCUCCCAUUUCGAUGCCCUUUCCGUGCCCUCAUGUUUUGUGUGGUCACGGUUAAGCCACAUCGAUAUUUUAUAUUAUUUUUUUUUGAAAAUAAUAAAACAAAAAGAAAUAGUAGUAUAAAAUGUUGACGUGGCUUAACCAUGAUCAUAAAAACAGGAAGGCACGGAGAGGGCACCAAAAUUAGAGGGCAGACAAUCCAAGUCCAAAGUUGAGUGCACCCGCACUUGCAUGACACAUCAUGGUCCUGGGUUAUAUAGCUGAUGUGUUUUACACCUGACUUAUAGAAAGACAAGAAAAACCAAUUUUGCUUUGGUUUCUUUGUUUUGGUUUUUCUGCUUUGGGCUCCAACUCUUGUUUUGGGCUUUUUUUGUGUUUACUUUGGGGUUCAUUAUUUUGCUUUGUGCUUUAUUUGUGAUUGGACAUUCGUUGGGUUGAUAAUAAAUUUUACCUUUUACCAUAAAGAAAAACACAAAUGACAACAUAACCAAAUGACCUUUACAAUUAAAUAAUUUAUCAAAUAACACGUUUCAUCAACUGCAACUGCAAUCAUAACGCUCUGUGGUUUAGAUCACAUUUUGUAAAAUACAUCCAACUCAUCUAUUUAAUAUAGGUAAAACCAAGGUUCUAAAAGACGUUAGGCGCUAGUCUGUAUACGAACUGAGACCUAGUGGCUAAGCAGGAGCCUAGUCGGAUUAGGCAGAUUUAAAUAAAUUUGUUAUAUAUUGUGUAAAUAAGUGCUUAUUUAUACUUAAAAUAAUACAUAAUUGCAUUGAAAUAAAUAAAUGACAAAGUAGAAUGACAUAUAAAUUACAAAGUAGUAGAACAUAUUUGCAUUGGGAUUACAUGAAUCUUACCUUGAUUUAAGCUCGGGUGUGGAGUUGAUUUAUACCACAGGGAGGUCCCAUUUUGGGUGGAACUAUGGAGGGGAACUCAUGUUGAGUGGAGGGGAGCCUAUGUUCAGUAGAGGGGGGAGAUGGAGGAAUGAAAGAUGUUGUGGUGGUUGACGGCGAGAUGAAUUUGGAAGUGUUGGGUGGGGCAGGACACCUCACUCUCUAUGCAAACGAGAAACGAGAGAGAGAUGGAGAAGAGAGUCCCAAAGUGGGGAAGUCUCUAGGCAAGGGGGAGAAAAAGCCCAGGCAAACUACAAAGAAAGAUUUUGUGGGUCCCUAUGUACCAAUAAUCCAAUAAAAUUAUCCAUAAUAGGGAAAUUAGGGGAAAAAAAAAACCAUGAACUUAAAAUCCCGUAGGAAUUUUGUUUGAACUCCAAAUUCUUCACCGUUUGCGCCCACACGUUCGUUGCAACAAAUACUAUAUGAAUACACUAAAAUAAUGGGUCAUGUUUAUCACAAGCUCAAAUGUCAACCGAAGUCACCACUUUGGACAUUUAGUCAUUUCACACUCUUGAAAAUUGAAAUACUCUAAUUUUAGGGACUGGUCGUAACAACUGCAUUACUUUUCUCAAUUAAUUCCACAAAUGGUUUCUUCUCCUUGCUUUUCCAAGGCUUCUUGUCUUUAUACCCACUAGAUUGCGUAUUAGUUCUUCCCCCAAACACUUAGGCUACCAAAAGCUCUCUCAGUAACCUCACUAUCUUUUGAGUGCCUAAUUAAUUUUUGUUCAAACCCUUUUAGUGUUGCAACAACCUCAGUGGAAUCAAUUUCUUUGGUCUUUUUAGCUUCUUCUUUCACAUCAACAAUAUUAUCAUAUUGAAGUGUAAAACUGAUUGAUAACUUUUUAACAACCCUCUUGUUAUGCAAGUCUUCACCAUACAUUUGCAUUUGACGUAUCAAUCCAAACACCUUAGUUAAAUAAUCAGAUAAUGAUUCACCAUUCCUCAUUAUAUCAUACUCAAAAUCACAACAAAUGCAUUGAAGUUUAAAGGCCAUUACUUGAGAAUCACCUUUAUAUUCUUAUUGCAAUACAUCCUAAGUGGCUUUAACAAUUUCCUGGUUUGUAAUCUUUGGGAAAAAAUCAUCACUCAUAGCUCCUUGGAUCAAUCCCAGAGCCCUUGCACCACCGGAAAUAAGAUCUUGAGCAACAAACAGUUGCUUCUCAUAUAAGGGAAGAACAUAGCCUUCUUAACAAAUUUCCAUAGAUUUUUGAAGUUGUCUUCAACCUGAUGCACCAAAACUCAUAGUUGAUGCUAUUAAAGGCCAUAGUUCGAAGCUCAGCUCCAAAUCCAGCCAUCUUGCUCCUCGAUUCACCUAAGUUCUUCGUUGGAAACUCAGAAAACAACUCACAGAUCCACACCCCUUGAUUCAACAUGAACCAAGCUAUGGGCACAUGUUAGUAUUUUUAUCAAUUUUGCAGGUUAAUUUUGGUUGAAUUUGGAUUAAAAUCAAUCAGAAAUUGAUGAGCUCAUAGAGUUGAAAAUGCAAAAAACUUAAAAGAUAAAAAAAAAAGAAAAGGAAAACUAAUGAAAAGGCCUUGAAAACUUUGAGUUUUAACGAUAAAGAUAAAAUAAAGGGUAAAGUGAAUAGUACCAGGAUUGACCUUUUAGUGUAAAAAUGUGGUUUUUCAUUAAAUUGAAUAAUACUGGGAGUUUUUCGUUAAAGUUCCCGUGUUAAUAGCUCCUUAAAUUCUGAAUUGGGUCCCAUUACAUCAAGCUAGAAAUGCCACCUCCAAUAUAGUCGUUGGUCACACUUGCAACGUGACUAUGAUCACGUGCAAGGCACACAUACAACUUAAAACAUAACAAACAAAUAACACAUGGCAAGAUUUACACCAUCUAGAUAUUAUAAUCUCAGUCGUUGAUUACAUAAGCCAUACCACUUGAACUUAAGAAGAAAUCCAGCAAUCCGAGCUUCAAAUUUUCAUUUAACUUCUACAGAAAGAUUAUAGCAACAAUGCUUAUUCAUCAACACAUGGUAUCCACAACGGUGGUGAUUAAGGACGAGCUUCCUAAGACUUCCACCGGGAAGAUUCAGAAGUUUUUGCUGAGGGAGAUUGAUAAAGGGAUUGCAUUGCCCUCGUUAUUUUUUCCGCGGCGGUGGCGUCGCGGACAACAAAUAGGAUGUAAGAGAAACUAGACAACAAAGAAAAGACAGAGACUAGAGAAAAAAUUAGGAGUUUAAUCGCCUCGGCCGAGUUUCGUAUUGUGUUUUACAAAGUUGAGGGAAAUUUGAAAAGAUUCUUUGAUAACAAAAAUUUUAUUCUUACUAUUUAUUUGUACCAUUAUUUGUACAUUUAUCUUAUUUGGACCCAAAUUGGACAUUAGGCCUAGAGCGCGGCCCAAUCGCACACAAAGCCCCAGGAAAACACUACAUCAUCAAAGCAAAUAAGGUUGAGGACGAAAGCUCGACCCAGAAUUCAAGAUAUUGCCUAAUGUGGCAAAACUAGACGACAAACCUAUGCAAUUGGGCAGGCAUAGGGGUCAUUAACGAAGGGUUUCACAGAAGGCAAAAGCAUCUUUUUAGGGGUAAAACCCCUUAAUUUGGAAAGGGUUAAAUGUGAAAUCACCAAUUGCAUGUCACAUCAAUCCAAGGGAGUUUAACCCAGAAUGAUGAAAGUCUUAUAAAAUCUACAAGGGAACACAAAGAAAAUGACUCUCAACUCAACUCUCAGAAAAACACUUAAAAGCUUUGUCGCUUUCUUUAUAAUCUCUUUGCACCCCCAGCUAUUUCCUUUAAGUUAUAGCUCUGCUGCAGCCUUUGCGCAGUAUCGAUUUAAUUUGUAGCCGCUAUUGCACCCUCCCAGACCCUGCGUAAAGCGGGAGCCUUGUGCACUGGGUACGACAUUUUAUUGCACCCUUUUUCAUUUCCAAAAACUGCCCCAUACUCUGUAAGUUUGCAAAAGAAGUGCCCUGGGACUCAAGCCUGACAAGGUUUAUAAUGUGCCCAAAUUCACUUGUUUACCAUUUGAUGCAUUAAAUCUAUCUUUAUUUGCUUCAUGUUUACUCUUGAAUUUAUUUAUUACGUUCUAACAUGGACUGUUCUGCUCAUUUAUUACUUGAAACCUUCACUGUCACUCUACCUUUGGUUGUUCCCUAUCAGUUAUGAUGCAAUCAUGGCCUAAACUUGGUAAUCUUGACCUAAUUAAAACUUGGUAAAUAACAUCAACACAGUCCUUGAUCUCAAGGCAGUAAAAAUGACCUUUUAUGGACUUAACCCCUCUAUAAACAAUCUCUUAUAAAAGAAGUCAUUUUACUUGUAGCGCAAGUAGUAAAAAUGACUCACAAUUUGUUGGUCUUGGCCAAUAGUGACACGCUCAGCAUUCAUCUAAUUCUGAUAGAAUGCAUCCAAGGCCGAACAUCUCUAAUACAGAUAGAACCAACGUGUGCUGGUGAGCCCUAUCUCUUAUAAAGAGAUGAUAUAUUGCACAAAUAUACAGUGAUGUAGCGUUACUCCUUUGACAAUUAAAAAGAUUGUAAAUUUUGGUGGUUAAUUUAUUGUGCAGGUGCAUGGCAUGAUGACGUCGGACGUUGGAAGCUUUUGGGUUGCCGGGCUUGCGAUGGCAGGCCGUUUGGACUACAUGCUUAUGAUAUUAGGAAAAUUGCAUGCAUGUGUUGUUGACCGAAAUUGUCAGAUGAGUUGUCGUUUGCCAUCUCUGACUAUUUAAUCUUAUCAUUUUUCAUAUCUAUUGUUAAAAUAAGUUUCAGUCCGAUAUUCUUCCUCCAAAAUAAUUUUAUAUAUAGUUUAAGUUUGAUUACUGUUCGCCAUCUUGACUGGAAAAUAGAAAAUGCCUCAUCACCCUGCGAUGCCGGCGAUGAUCAGUUUGAUUAGAGUUGGGUUGGUGGGUCUAUAUUGUCGUCGUUUGGGUUGGUCGACGGUGCGUCGGAUGUAAUUUUUAUUGGGGAAUAUCAAUAAGUUUAAUUAAUUAAUGGUUGCACUGUCAAAUUUCAGGCGAUCUGCAAUGUUCAUAUCUGCGGGUUUUCUGGGCAGUGGAAGUGGUGAUGAUCAAUAUUUCCUCACGACACUCCAGACUGGUGGGAAUUUACCUACCUGCCCCUCCUCAGCUCAAAAUUGUUUUCCUUUUAACCGUUAUAAAAAAAAUAAAGAUAAUAUUAGAGAAAUUAAAAUUUUAAAUCAAAUUUGCAUGUGUGAUUAAUAAAAAAAUAAAAAAUAAUCAUUUUAAUCAACACUUAGAUAAUAAUCUAAUCAUCAACAAUCACAUUAUUUGGUUUACAUAAUUUGAUCUCUCUAGCAUUAUACUAAAAAUAAGCGUUUUAUUGAACAAUGAUUUUAAAAUAAGGAUAAUGUCAUAGAAAUUAAAUUUAAAAUAAUAAUAAAAAAUUUGCAAACUAAAUUAUGUGUCACCAAUAAAAUAUAAUCACGUUAAUCAAUACUUAAGUAAUAAUUCAAUCAUCAACAACCACGUCAUUUGGCUUACAAAUUUAAUUUAAAAUUUUGAUAUCUCUAAUAUUAUCCUUAAAAUAAUCGUUUUUGGAGUGUGUGAGGGUUCUUGAACAAGAGACAUUUUUCAGUGUGACUAAUACGCGGGGUGGUCUAUUACAUGUCACUAUACAAAUUAUAGGAUAUGUGUGCUAAAAAAUUAAUAACUUAUAAAUAAAAUUUACCACCACUCCUAUUAAAACAUGUAAUGUACCACUUGUGUUCCCUUUACAAUUAAAAUUUUCUUCUUAAACAAGGGGACAUAAUGUUGAGGGUUUAUCUCAACUGCGGAUGUGUUUCAUCCGACCGACUAAAAUAGUCAAUCUAAAGAAUUGCACAAACAUUAUCUGUAGGUGAGUGACUUCAGAUUCUUUUAUUUAAUUUCUGAUUUGUGUCAUUUACUAAGUUAUCCCUAAUCUAUUUGGCCUUUUUUGUGGGAUUUUUUUUAUAGAAGGGCAUUUUAGGCGUUUCAGAAUGUUUCACCAAAUGUUGCUGCUCACGUUAUAUAUAGAAAUUCUGAAAGAUAGAUAAAAACCAUUGGUCUUUUACAUUUGGUCACAUGUAAAUUAUUUUUUUUUUGUAAAUUUGGUCACAGUAGAUUGAGUGGUGUGGGUAAGAGUAGCUUAAAUUCAUUGACAUAUUCCAAAUAGUAUCAUGGCGUUUGAAGGCGACUAUGGAGAAUUUUCCGCUUGGAAACAUGCAUGUUUUUACAGACAAAAUUUUCAAUUGACGCCAUUUAGUGUUACGUUGGUCCUUAGAUCCCUACCCAUUGUUACCUAUCCCGCUUUCUUAUUUGACUAGGGAGGUAUUGAUUGUAUUCGGGAUAGUAAAAUACGGGGAAAAAAACAAAGAAAAAGAAAGAAACUUAAGUUUAGGAUUGAAGACAUUUAAGACCAAACUCAACCCUGCGCUAAAAGCUAAAAGUCAAACAAAAGCCAAAUGCCCCCCCCCCCAGGAUUUAGCUCAUAAAAUGGUGUAGGCACCACCAGCGGUACCCCACUCACAUAGGCAUGUCUCCUAGGAUUGAUUGAAUCCAACGGCUAAGAUCGAAUAUAAUCAAAUCUAACUGUCCAAAUUUAAAUCCAACAGCUAAAAUAAUUUAAAAAAAAUUAUUUAACUCAAAAUUCACCCUAUUUUAGUGAUUUUUCAAUAUUUAUCGGAAUUUAAAUAUUUUUAGGUUAAAAUGUUCAUAAAAUUAAAUUAUGAUAGUGUACAUAAUUUUUUUUUAAAAUUACUUUAAAGGAAAAAAUUAGCCUAAAUUUAUUCUUUAAUAAUCUCAGGCUAAAAAAUUUAGAUAAGAAAGGUUGGAGCAGAAAAACUGUUUCAAGGCUAAAAUCUAAAUUUUAUGAGCUAAAAAUUUUAAGUUUUAAUCCAAGGUUUCAGACAACAAACUAAAUAGAUAUGACAAUGGGCUAUAGCAAGUAGCCUCCAACGGCCCCAUCUAGGAAAUCAUUUGUUUAUCGUCCCAGUCUAACCCCUUGGGGCCAUGUUAGCGAUUCAGUCUUUCCCUAAUAUCAAUUUUCUCAGCUUCGUUUAAACAAAUGAAAACGUAACAAGACGACCCUUAUGAUUAAAUAAUUUAUCAGAUAGCACAUUCCAUCAAUAACAAUUAUAAAGGAGUAAUGUUAUACUUGUCAUAUUUUUUUUAUACCUUAUUUGUACUAUUUUUCUAAGACCAACUCCAAUGAUCGAGGUUAAAAUCUUAAUUUUAGCUCAAAAAAUUCAAAGCUUGUUUAGUAUUCUAUCCAAAAACUUUGAUUGUUCCUAAAACAUUUUUCAAAGGACAUCCCUUAAGAACAAUUUUUCUUUUAAAUCUCACAAUUCAAAAAUCUAUUUGGUUAAAUUUAAAAAAAUAGUUUUUCUUAAUUGAAAUUCAAACUACCUUGCAAAAAUUGGAGGAGAGACACAAGUAGGAAAGAGAGAAGAAGGGAAACGGUUGGCAAGGGGAGAGAAAGAGAGAAGUAGGCGAAGAGGUGAGGGGAGAGAAGUAAUUAAGAGAGGGUGAUGAGAGAGCAUAAAAAUACGGUGAGGAGAGAGAUUAGACAGAGGUGGAGGAUGUGAGGAGAGAGAUAAGACAACGAGGGUUAGGAGAGAGAAAGAGCAACAACAACAAAACCUUUUUCCACUAAGUGGGGUCGGCUAUAUGAAUCCUAGAACGCCAUUGCGCUCGGUUUUGUGUCAUGUCCUCCGUUAGAUCCAAGUACUCAAGUCUUUUCUUAGGGUCUAUUCCAAAGUUUUCCUAGGUCUUCCUCUACCCCUUCGGCCCUGAACCUCUGUCCCGUAGUCACAUUUUCGAACCGGAGCGUCAGUAGGCCUUCUUUGCACAUGUCCAAACCACCGGAACCGAUUUUCUCUCAUAUUUCCUUCAAUUUUGGCUCCUCCUAUUUUAUCUCGGAUAUCCUCAUUCCCAAUCUUAUCCUUUCUCGUGUGCCCAUACAUCCCACGAAGCAUCCUCAUCUCCGCUACACCCAUUUUGUGUACGUGUUGAUGCUUCACCGCCCAACAUUUUGUGCCAUACAACAUCGCUGGCCUUAUUGCCGUCCUAAAAAUUUUCCCUUGAGCUUCAGUGGCCUACGACGGUCACACAACACGCCGGAUGCACUCUUACACUUCAUCCAUCCAGCUUGUAUUCUAUGGUUGAGAUCUCCAUCUAAUUCUCCGUUCUUUUGCAAGAUAGAUCCUAGGUAGCGAAAACAGUCACUUUUUGUGAUCUUCGCUAGAUUGCUCCGGUCAUUAGUGUGGAUAAGUAUAUAAAUGGAUAGAGAUAGGAAAGCAAACACAAGAUGUACGUGGUUCACCCAGAUUGGCUACGUCCACGGAAUAGAGGAGUUCUCAUUAAUUGUGAAGGGUUUACACAAGUACAUAGGUUCAAGCUCUCCUUUAGUGAGUACAAGUGAAUGAUUUAGUACAAAUGACAUUAGGAAAUAUUGUGGGAGAAUGAUCUCGUAACCACGAAACUUCUAAGUACCGGAGUGUGGUAUCGUCUUGACUUGCCUUAUCUGUCUCAUAGGUAGAUGUGGCAUCUUCUCUGGAAGUACUCUUCCUCCAUCCAGGGGUGGUAUCUUUAACUGGUGGAGAUGCACAAGGUAAUGUAUCAAUUUCACUUGAAGCUUACUUGUAGUUUCAGGCUUGGUCAAGCGCGAUACAAACCAAGUAGUAGGAGUCCCCCAAGUCGCCGAGCUAGGGGAUCUGCUGAAAGAGGUGACAGACAAGGUAAGCAAUCAGAGCUCCGGCUGAUUGUUCACAUUCUCCCUAUCUUGCAGGCAGCAUGAAGGAUAAAGAGAAGAAAAAUGAGAAGAGAUGAUAUGGGGAUACUUUUGCUUUUGAAGAAGUAACUUUCCACAGGCUUAUUCUUGAACUGGGCUGGAGGGUUUUCUGGUUUCCUCCAGAGUAUAAGGCCGACUGAAGAAUUUGAGGGUCAAAACAAGUCCAUCAAAUCUAGAGUACGUUCGACCCUGCUGAUAUGGGAUACUUUUGCUUUUGACAGAGUAGUGGAUGUAUCGGCACGUGUGCUGUUACGCUUGUCUCCACAUGCUUCCUUGUAUCUUUCUCACUUGCCCUAUCUGUUCCUCAGGCAGAUGCGGUAUCUUCCCUGGAAGCAUAAGAUGUUGAAGAUGAGUACUCGAGAGCAAUGCCAGGUAAGUAAUCAGGUAAGGGGUUCCAGGCAGUCAGUUCCUGGCUGGAAGCUUGAUUCCAAGUGCUGACUGAUUGCUCUCUUUCUCCUUGUCUUGCAGGUAAGAACAAGGCCAAAGGAAAAGACAGGGAAAAAGCAUGAUAUGGGAUACUCUUGCUUUUAACCCUGAUGAUAUGAGAUAUUCUUGCUCUAGUAUAACUUGUUUACAGAGGUACUAUCGGGGGGAAAGAAAGCUGAAUAUUUCGAAAGGCUUCGUUGGGAGUGCCCUCUCAGAUAAGAGGAAGGGGUUGAGCAUUUUUGCAGGUCUGCCUGUCCGUUGGGGAUGGAGGUCGACAUAUAUAGGAGUCUCCCUAACAUCAAGUAAUAAUGCUAUUCCUUUACCCUGCUUGGUCAUAGCACGGUAGUGGGAGCUGCCAGCUUCACAUGUUUUAACUCUGUCAGAGCACUUUGAAAAAGUGGUCUGUGGUAUCUGGAAAGCUGAUGUUGCGUGUGAAGAUUACAGACAAGCUUUAUCCAAGGAGAUCCAGCUCUUGAAGUUGGGAAAGUGGUGCCUCUUCGGUUUUCGAACAAGCAAUCCUGUCGGGGAUCUGGCUCUCGAGAUUCGGAGAACGAUGCCUUUUCAAUUUUUGAGAAAGCAAUCCUGCUGGGGGUCUGGCUCUCGAGAUUCGGGGAGCGGUGUCUCUUCGAUUUUUGAGAAAGUAAUCAUGUUGGGAGUCUGGCUCUCGAGAUUCGGAGGGCGGUGUGCCUCUUCGAUUUUGGAGCAAGCAAUCUUGUUGGGAGUGUUUUCUCGAAUGUGAGUAAAGGUUGGGCACUAGUCUACACAGGGACUUUCCAAUUAUCCAGCAGUGGUACUGUUCCUUUACCCUCUCUUCGAUUUUUGAGAAAGUAAUCAUGUUAGGAGUCUGGCUCUCGAGAUUCGAAGGGCGGUGCCUCUUCGAUUUUGGAGCAAGCAAUCUUGUUGGGGGUGUUUUCUCGAAUGUGAGUAAAGGUUGGGCAUGUUUGCUAGUCUACCUUGCCACGAAGCACAGAGGUUGACACACCGGGACUUUCCAAUUAUCCAGCAGUGGUACUGUUCCUUUACCUUUGUGGGUAAUAAUAUGGUAGCUAGACCUUCAAAAUUUAUGUGUCUAAACUUUGUUAGUGUUGUUUCUUUGCUAUUAUUUUACCCUUCUUGGUUAGAGCGAUGUAGUAGGAGCUGCAAGCUUCACGUGUCUCAACUUUGUCAGAGAACUUUGGCAAAGUUAUCUGUGGUACCCAUGAGCUACUGUUGCGUGUGGGAAGUGGGUGAUUGAACAGUACGAUUCAUGUGCUUUCUACUUCGCCAGAAAUCUUCGACAGAAUGCUCAUAAUUUUCGCAAAGUUGAGUGUGCGUGUGACAGGUGCUGACAAGGCUGGAAAAGUAGGUGCCUCUUCGAUUUCUGAGAUCGGCCCUCGUGGUCUCUGAGCAGCCCAGUUUUUGAGAAAGCAAGCUUCUUCGAUUUCUGAGAUCGGUCUUCAUGGUCUUUGAGCAGCCCAGCUUUUGAGAAAGCAGACGCCUCUUCGAUUUCAGAGAUCGACCCUCGUGGUCUCUAAGCAGCCAAGCUUUUGAGAAAGCAGACGCCUCUUCGAUUUCAGAGAUCGACCCUCGUGGUCUCUGAGCAGCCCAGCUUUUGAGAAAGCAAACGCCUAUUUGAUUUCUGAGCAGGCGCCUCUUCGAUUUCUGAAGCUUCGUCGAGUGCAGAUUUUUAUAGGGGCUGACAUUAAGUUCCAAAGCACACUUGAAUAUCCACCAGUAGAAGCUCCAUUCUUGCACUUCUAAGAUCUUGAUUUGUCCGACCUCUUCUCUCUUCAACACCUUUGAAAAUGUCUGGCCCCUUCCGACCGUCGUUUUGAACUUGAACCUUGUUGAAGAGGCAGCCCCGCCUUCUUCCAGACAACAUAUGGCGCCCAUCCUUCGUCUCCCCUACUGGUUCCUCUUACCGUUGGGGAUUCCGUGAUGAAGAAUGAUAUGACCGCUGCGGUAGUGGCCAGGAACCUUCUCACUCCCAAAGAUAACAGACUACUUUCCAAACGGUCUGAUGAGUUGGCUGUUAAGGAUUCUCUGGCUCUCAGUGUUCAGUGUGCAGGUUCUGUGUCUAAUAUGGCCCAACGCCUAUUUGCUCGAACCCGCCAAGUUGAAUCAUUGGCGGUUGAAGUGAUGAGUCUCAAACAGGAGAUUAGAGGGCUCAAGCAUGAGAAUAAACAGUUGCACCGGCUCGCACAUGACUAUGCUACAAACAUGAAGAGGAAGCUUGACCAGAUGAAGGAAUCUGAUGGUCAGGUUUUACUUGAUCAUCAGAGAUUUGUGGGUUUGUUCCAAAGGCAUUUAUUGCCUUCGUCUUCUGGGGCUGUACCGCGUAAUGAAGCUCCAAAUGAUCAACCUCUGAUGCCUCCUCCUUCUAGGGUUCUUGUCCAGUACUGAGGCUCCAAAUGAUCCCCCUCCGGUGCCUUCUCUUUCUGGGGCUCUACCGACUGCUGAGACUUCUCCUAAGCAACCUUUGUGAAGGCUCCCUCUUGUUUGUUUAUUUUGACUCAAGUAUAUGUACAUAUUUGUAACUUAUCGGGGAUAUCAAUAAAUAAGCUUUCCUUCAUUUCAACGUAUUGUGUUAAAUACACCAAAGCCUUCUUCGCUAAGUUCUUUGAAUUUUCUUUUGUUGAAGCUUGUAUGUUGAAGCUUUGUGAGUGGAGCAUGUAGGUUGAGGUAGUGUUCCCUUAAUUUCCCGAGUGAGGAAAACUUCUCGGUUGGAGACUUGGAAAAUCCAAGUCACUGAGUGGGAUCGGCUAUAUGAAUCUUAGAACGCCAUUGUGUUUUGUCCUGUGUCAUGUCCUCCGUUAGAUCCAAGUACUCUAAGUCUUUUCUUAGGGUCUCUUCCAAAGUUUUCCUAGGUCUUCCUCUACCCCUUCGGCCUUGAACCUCUGUCCCAUAGUCGCAUCUUCUAAUCGGAGCGUCAGUAGGCCUUCUUUGCACAUGUCCAAACCACCGUAACCGAUUUUCUCUCAUCUUUCCUUCAAUUUCGGCUACUCCUACUUUACCCCGGAUAUCCUCAUUCCUAAUCUUAUCCUUUCUCGUGUGCCCACACAUCCAACGAAGCAUCCUCAUCUCCGCUACACCCAUUUUGUGUACGUGUUGAUGCUUCACCGCCCAACAUUCUGUGCCAUACAGCAUCGCCGGCCUUAUUGCCGUCCUAUAAAAUUUUCCCUUGAGCUUCAGUGGCAUACGGCGGUCACACAACACGCCGGAUGCACUCUUCCACUUCAUCCAUCCAGCUUGUAUUCUAUGGUUGAGAUCUCCAUCUAAUUCUCCAUUCUUUUGCAAGAUAGAUCCUAGGUAAAGAAAACGGUCGCUCUUUGGUAUUUCUUGAUCUCCGAUCCUCACCCCUAACUUGUUUUGGCCUCCAUUUGCACUGAACUUGCACUUCAUAUAUUCUGUCUUUGAUCGGCUUAGGCGAAGACCUUUAGAUUCCAACACUUCUCUCCAAAGGUUAAGCUUUGCAUUUACCCCUUCCUGAGUUUCAUCUAUCAACACUAUAUCGUCUGCGAAAAGCAUACACCAAGGAAUAUCAUCUUGAAUAUGUCCUGUUAACUCAUCCAUUACCAACGCAAAAAGGUAAGGACUUAAGGAUGAGCCUUGAUGUAAUCCUACAGUUAUGGGAAAGCUUUCGGUUUAUCCUUCAUGAGUUCUUACGGCAGUCUUUGCUCCUUCAUACAUAUCCUGUAUAGCUUGGAUAUAUGCUACUCGUACUCCUUUCUUCUCUAAAAUCCUCCAAAGAAUGUCUCUUGGGACCCUAUCAUACGCUUUUUCCAAAUCUAUAAAGAUCAUGUGUAAAUCCUUUUUCUCAUCUCUAUAUCUUUCCAUCAAUCUUCGUAAGAGAUAGAUUGCCUCCAUGGUUGAGCGCCCUGGCAUGAACCCGAAUUGGUUGUCCGAAACCCGUGUCUCUUGCCUCAAUCUAUGCUCAAUGACUCUCUCCCAGAGCUUCAUUGUAUGACUCAUUAGCUUAAUACCCCUAUAGUUCAUGCAAUUUUGUACAUCGCCCUUAUUCUUGUAGAUAGGCACCAAAGUGCUCGUUCGCCACUCAUUUGGCAUCUUCUUUGUUUUCAAAAUCCUAUUGAAAAGGUCAGUGAGCCAUGUUAUACCUGUCUCUCCCAAAACUUUCCACACUUCGAUUGGUAUAUUGUCUGGGCCUACUGCUUUUCUAUGCUUCAUCUUCUUCAAAGCUCUAACCACUUCUUCCUUCCGGAUUCUACGAUAAAAAUAGUAGUUUCUACACUCUUCUGAGUUACUCAACUCCCUUAAAGAAGCACUCAUUUCAUGUCCUUCAUUGAAAAGAUUAUGAAAAUAACAUUUCGAUAUGUCUUUAACCGCGUUCUUUGUAGCAAGAACCUUUCCAUCCUCAUCCUUGAUGCACCUCACUUGGUUUAGGUCCCUUGUCUUCUUUUCCCUUGCUCUAGCUAGUUUAUAGAUAUCCAACUCUCCUUCUUUGGUAUCUAGUCGCUUAUACAUAUCGUCAUAAGCCGCUAACUUAGCUUCUCUCACAGCUUUCUUCGCCUCUUGCUUCGCUUUUCUAUACCUUUCACCAUUUUCAUCGGUCCUAUCCUUGUAUAAGGCUUUACAGCAUUCCUUCUUAGCCUUCACCUUUGUUUGUACCUCCUCAUUCCACCACCAAGAUUCCUUUUGGUGUGGGGCAAAGCCCUUGGACUCUCCUAAUACCUCUUUUGCUACUUUUCGGAUACAACUAGCCAUGGAAUCCCACAUUUGGUUAGCUUCCCCCUUUCUAUCCCACACACACUGGGUGAUUACUUUCUCUUUGAAAAUGACUUGUUUUUCUUCUUUUAGAUUCCACCAUCUAGUCCUUGGGCACUUCUAAGUCUUGUUCUUUUUUCUCACUCUUUUGAUAUGUACAUCCAUCACCAACAAGCGAUGUUGAUUAGCCACACUCUCUCCUGGUAUAACUUUGCAAUCCUUACAAGUUAUACGAUCCCCUUUCCUCAUUAGAAGAAAAUCUAUUUGUGUUUUUGACGACCCACUCUUGUAGGUGAUCACAUGUUCUUCUCUCUUCUUAAAGAAGGUGUUGGCUAAGAAGAGAUCAUAUGCCAUUGCAAAAUCCAAGAUAGCUUCCCCAUCCUCGUUUCUCUCCCCAAAACCAUGGCCACCAUGAAAACCUCCAUAGUUGCCUGUCUCCCUGCCCACGUGUCCAUUUAAAUCUCCUCCUAUAAAUAACUUCUCCGUCUGAGCAAUUCCUUGCACCAAGUCGCCAAGGUCUUCCCAAAAUUUCUCCUUCGAACUCGUAUCCAACCCUACUUGAGGUGCGUACGCACUAAUCACAUUGAUAAGUUCUUGUCCUAUUACAAUCUUGAUUGCCAUGAUUCUAUCUCCUACCCUCUUGACAUCUACAACAUCUUGUGUUGUCCACGAUGAUGCCAACACCGUUUCUCGUUCUAUUUGUGCCCGAAUACCAUAGUUUAAACCCUGAGUUUUCUAGAUCCUUUGCCUUACGACCAACCCACUUAGUUUCUUGUAGGCACAUAAUAUUUAUCCUUCUCCUCACCAUAACUUCUACUACUUCCAUAGAUUUUCCCGUCAAGGUUCCUAUAUUCCACGUUCCUAAACGCAUUUUGCUCUCUUGAACUCUACCCUUCUGUUCUAGCUUCUUCAAAAGCCUUUCUAAACAAAAAUUCAAAGUCUAAAAUUCAAAAUGUGUUUUUGAAUUUAAAAAGUUGAACUCAACUAUGAUACCAAAUAUGUCCUUAGUUCUAACUUAGAAACAGUUUUUCUCCUCCAAUGGUUUUGGGUUUAAAGUUUUAGCCCGAAAUUAUUAAAGAAUGAUUUUAGCCUUUUUUUUGGGUAACUUCUUUAAAAAUAAUUUUUUUGUAUAUUAUCCUAAUUUAUUUUUAUGAAUAUUUUAAGGGUAAAUUACAUAGUAGCCCCUCAGGUUUGAGGUCUAUUAUAACCCCAUACAACAUCUUUAAAAUAUUCAUUUUCAUACCUCAAGUACUAUUUUAUUUCAAAAUAAUACAUCUGUUACAUUUUCCAUCCAUUGAUGACGUGGCUGCCACAUUUGUGCCACGUGGCUGCCAAAUGUGUGCCACGUGGCAAACAAAAUUAAAAAAAAAAAAAAAAACCUGAAUCUUCUACAUUAAAAAAAAAAAAAAACCAAAAGCUGAACUCGCAACCCACCCACACAACCUGCACCCCAGAAGAAGAAGAGGAGAGGAAAAAAAAAAUCCCAUCUUCAUCCCCCAACCCACCUUCCUUGCAACCCACUCGUUUCUUCCCCCUCCCGUCUUCCCCAAACCCACCAUGCACCCAUCCUCCACCUCCUCCUCUGCACCCACUACCUGCAACCCAUAAAAGAAAAGAAAAAAAAAACUCAUCUCCCUUUCCCUGCAACCCAGAUCCCGUCUUCUCCAAUGAGUGUGGAUUUAAGGAGUGAGGUGUGUAGAGGAGGGAAGUGGAUGCGUGCGAGGGUGGGUGCGCUGGGUUUUUUUCUUCUUCUUCUUUCUGGGUUGCAGGUUAGGGUAGCGGAAGAUGGGUGCGCGAAGAAGGUGGAGUUGGGUGCAGAGGAGGAGGUGGAGGAUGGGUGCGGACCGUCGGACUUCGCCAGGUAUGCGUUUUGGGUUUUUUUGUUUAGGGGGGGAGGAAUAAUGGGAUAUGGGGGUUUUUUUAAUGGGAACUGGGCGAUUUGGGUUUUUUUGUUUGUUGGGGGGGGGAAUAAUGGGAUAUGGGGUUUUUUAAUGGGAACUGGGUUUUUGCGGCGGGGGGUGGGGUGGGGUAAUGGAUUGGGGUUUUAGAGUUUUUUUUUUUUUUUUAAAUUUAGAAGAUUAAGGUUUUUUUGUAAUUUUUUUUUGCCACGUCGUAUAUAUGUGGCAGCAACAUCAGCACUUAACGGAUCAAUUGAUGGAAAAUGUAACGGAUGUAUUAUUUUGAAAUAAAAUAGUACUUGAGAUAUGAAAGUGAAAUGUUUUAAAGAUGUUGUAUGAGGUUGUAAUAGAUCUCAAACCUGAGGGGCUACUAUGUAAUUUACCCAUAUUUUAACCUAAAAAUAUUUAAGUCCCGAUAGAUAAUGAAAAAUUACUAAACUUACAUCAUUCUUACAAAUAUGCACCACAUGAAAAAAAACAUGGAAAAUCACACACCAUACCCCAUUCUUAAAAACAAAUACAUAGAUGGGUAGAAAGAAAAAAAAGGAAGAAUUGUUUGACGAAAAAGUGAAUUUUGUAUGUAUGUUUGAAUAAAUACAUAUCACACACCCCGAUCGAGAUCGAAGCAUGCUGGCCAUCACGUGAGGGUGACGUAGCCAUGUGCAUAGUGCGGAAGCAAUAAAGAUAAGAAAUAUACGAAUAAAUAAAAACCGAAAGCUACUAAUGUGCACUAAUAAACAUGAAGUGCUAGGAGUGAGAUACAAGUGUAAAUACCCCUAAUCAAAGCAUAGAAAGUCUAGGUGCAGUCCAGUAGGACAAGUACUAGUUAUACAGUACCAGAAAACGUCCUACAAAUAUUUUAUUAUGUCAGAACCGCCGAAAUCCUCAUACGCCACCAAUAGCAAGACUACCUAAAACCUGGAGGGGCGCAAAACAGAAAGUGUGAGUGGGCAAAAACAAAUGUUUUUCAAAACCAUUUCAUCAUUAAAAUGCUCUAACCCCUCGCCGUAAAACAUGUAUAAUUUUCCCAUAAUAGAAUAUAAACAUAUGCAUAAAUAUAUAUAUGCAUAUUUCAAUUCAAAUCAUGCUUCAUAUAAUCAUAUUCAUAAGUAUACCAUGCCAAAACAUAAAGUAGAAUAAGUAACUUAGGUGAGAAUAAAUUCAUGGAAAAUAACGUAUUAGCCGGAACCCCUACAUAAGUAUGUACGGCUGAAUUCAUAGCUCAUUAUUCAAUAUAGCCGGAGUCACUACAAGGACUUAUACGACACUACACUGCACAUAAGUCGAAACCACUAAAAGCGGUCUGUACGACAAGACUGGUGUAAUAUAAUUAUGCUCAAUACUACGUUCUCAUGAUAGCUGGGCGAUAAAUCGCUAGUCACCUACGAGUCGGAACCAUGAAUAAGGUAUAUACAACAAGACUGUACGACAAGACUGUGCACCUAAAUGGGAUCCAAUGUGAGCAUAUGGUGCGGGAGGUGACAUUAUAAAUAGGCAUGUGCCAUAUCUCUGUCUAAAUCACAAUCACCCUAGGUGCAGGUUUAUGAGCUCAAUGUUUCUCAAUCACAACUUUAAUCACAAUCACAAUUCAUAACUCACCUGGGCUUAGCUGAGCGUCCACAACACCACAAUUAUAUAAUAUGCGUCAUAUACCAAUUCAUAUACAUAAUAUAAUUUCAUAUGCAUGGCAUUUUCAAGGCAUACUUUCAUUUAAACACAUUUUCUGGGAAAAUAUCAAGUAUAUAAAUAUAUACUAAAAACCAAAAGCCCACUCACUGGUAUGUCAAAGGGUUGUAGCCCCCGAGUCACCCUUGACUGCGCUUGUCCUCGGGAUAAGUCUCUCCUAUAUGCGAAACAACUAUAAAAAAGUUAAUUUAAAGCACAUAACCAAUACUAGCUAAUAACUUCUCAUACAAUGCUCAAAUUGGGUGUUUGAAUAUACCAACGUGAUCUACACAACCUUACGAACAUUCCCAUAUUUUAAGAAUAAUUUUUGGACGUCCCACGCGCCGGCAAAGGCACGGCAACACGCGCGGCCACGUGCAAGGACCCUAACGGAAUCUCCUAACCCCAUUAGGAAUAUUCCAUUACAUAGUAACGGAAUAUGUUAAACUAACCAACGCCGUUAGGAAUAUUCCAUCAAAGUUGACGAAAUAUUUCGUCAUCCCCUACCUCAGAACUCCGGCGACCGUCGCUGGAAAACUGGGAAAUUUUCAAACCUUUAUUUCUCGUCCAUUUCUCAGUCAAAUUUCAUGAAACUUAAACCAAUUUGAAGCUUGACAUGAAUAGAAUAAAACCAUAGCUUUCAAGAGCCUUAAAAUCCACGAAACUCGCCGAAAAUGAAGAAGUUAGAAGGAUUUUUAGAUUUUCCAGUUUCCGGCGACGGCGACGGUCGUCGGAGUUCGAAGGUAGGAGAUGAUGGAAUAUUCAUUCAAUUUUGACGGAAUAUUUCUAACGGAAACUAACGGCGUUAGUUAAAUUUAAUGGAAUAUUCCUUAAAUUUAACGAAAUAUUCCUAACGGCCAUUAGGUCUCAGUUAAGGUUUGGCCGCGUGUGGCGCGUAGGGCCAUGCCCUUGCCGGCGCGUGACGGCGCGUGAGGGCUCCAAAAAUUAUUUUAAAAAUUUGGGCGUGUUCCUGAGGUUGUGUAGAUCAUGUUGGUAUAUUUAAACACCCCAUUUGGGCAAUAUAUGAGAAGUUAUUAGCCAAUAUUGGUUAGGUGCUUUAAAUUAACAUUUUUAUAGUUGUUUCGCAUAUAGGGGAGACUUAUCUCGAGGACGAGCGCAGUCAAGGGUGACUCGGGGACUACGACCCUUCGACAUACCAAUGAGUGGGCUUUUGGUUUUAAAUAUAUAUGUAUAUGCUUGGUAUCUUUCCUAGAAAAUGCAUUUAAAUGAGUUAUGACUUAAAUUGCCAUGCCAAAUGUUUUACAUUUAGAAUAUGCAUAUGAUGUUUGCAUAUAUAUAUAAUUAUGGUGAUGUGGACGCUCAGGUAAGUCCUAGGUGAGUUUAUGAAUUGUGAAUGUGAAUAACAGUUGUGAUUAAUUAAGGAACAAUGAGCUCAUAAACCUGCACCCCGGUGUUAGUGAUUUAGCCAGAGAUAUGGCACAUGCCUGUAUAUAAUAUCACCUCCCGCACGAUAUGCUCACAUUAGAUCCAAGUUAGGUGCACGAUCUUGUCGUACAGACCAUUCUAUGUGGUUCCGACUCGUAGGUGACUAAUGAUUUAUCGCACAGUUAUAAUGAGAAUGUAGUAAGGAGCAUAGUUAUAUUACACCCAGUCCUGUUGUACAGACCAUUACAGUGGUUCCAACUCGUGUGCAGUGUAAUGCCGUAUAGGUCACUUGCAGUGACUCCGGCUAGAUUGACUAGUGAGCUAUGAAUUCAGCCGUAUAUACCUCUGCAAAGGUUUCGGCUAAUAUGUUAUUUUUCCAUGAAUUUAUUAUCACCUGAGUUACUUAUUCUGUUUCAUAUUUUGGCAUGGCAUACUUAUGAAAAUGGAUAUGUGAAGCAUGAAUUGAAAUAUAUGUGUAUAUAUACUUAUAUAUUUAUAUUCCAUUUCUGGGAAAAUUAUACAUGUUUUACGGCGAGGGGUUAGAGCAUUUGAUAAUGAAAUGGUUUUGAAAAGCUUUGUUUUUGCCCAUUCACACUUUCUGUUUUGCACCCUUCCAGGUUUUAGAUAAGCUUGUUCGUUGGUGGCUCAUGAGGAUUGGCUGGAGGUUCUGACUGACUAUCACAAAUGUAGGGCAUUUUUUGGUGUCGUUUAAUUAGUGCUUGUUUUCUGGAUUGAACUUAGGCUAGUUAUGCUUUGAUUGUGUAUUCACACAUUUUCUAGCACUUUCCUUAGCUAGUACUCUUAUGAAUUGGUUGUUAAUUAUUCGUAUUCUCUAUUAUCAUUAUUGAUUCCGCACUGUGUACAUGGCUACGUCACCCUCACGUGACUGCCAGCAUGCCCUGAUUUGGGUCGGGGUGUGUCAGUUUGGUAUCAGAGCCUAGGUUUAGCAGUCUUGUAUUGUUUAUGAAUAUUCUAAUCAUUGUGAUGUCUUCUGUCAGAAUCAUGCCACCUCGUAGUGAGCCACGUCACUCAGCCAAGCUAGUUUCCUUGAUAUUGCUCAAUUAGGGGAAGUUAUAGCUAAUUCCAUUCAGUCUUCGCUCCGUCAUCCUCAAAGGAUACCUCUUGAGAUUGUGUAAAAUCUGAAGCUGAAUCAUUUUAUGGGGAAUGAAGGGCGUGAAGGAGCGGAGAAAUGGAUCAAUGAUAUUGAGAAGACUUUCUGUGUGAUGCAGAGUCAAUGGAAUCUUCCUUCUGAUAAAUGGGUUGAGACGACUACCUGGUUUUUGGGCCGAAGCCUGCAUCUUGGUGGAGACAGGAGUCUUAUUAGUUGACCCCAAAGGAGAUUGGGGACUGGGAAUUAUUUAACCAUAUGUUCCUAAAAAGGUUUAUUCCCCAUGAGUAUAUUGAUCGUAAAAAGCAAGAGUUUACUUAAUUAAAGCAGGGGAAGAUGACGACAAAUGAGUAUUAUAGAAGAUUCACUGACUUGUCUCGCUAUCAUCCGGAGGCUGCUGCUAAUCCAGUUGAGAUGCUCCGUCGUUUCAGGUUGGGCACUAAAAAGAAAUGGCGUUCUAUAGCGACAUCGAUUUCCUGUGCCACUUACAAGGAGUUUUAUGAGGUUUUACUGCGGAUUGAAGACUCAGAAAACAUGCCCAGUGAAAGUGAAGAUGAAGAAGAAAAGAACGAAAACCAGAGGUGAGAUGAUAAAGGUAAAGGUCAAUCUUCUCAGGGACCUCGUAAGACUCAAAGUUUUAAGAGAAGUGGUGUCAGUUCCAGCUCUUCUAGUAGAGGUUUGAGCUCUAACGUACAGAUGAGAGGUGGUAGAUUUUCUAGAGGCCCUAGAUUUCAGAGGUAGAGGGAUUUUGGUGGUUCAGGUGCUCCUUUAUGCCGCAUAUGUAAUAAUAGGCAUUUUGGAGAGUGUAGGAGAGGCAUCAGUGGAUGCUAUACUUGUGGGCAUAUGGGGCAUAGGGUUGCACAGUGCCCUCAGAAUCAGCAAAGGCCCCAACAGUUUUCCUUACCACCACCUGCGCCGACCCAUCAAGACCUAGUGGUUAUGCCCAGACUGGUCGUGGUGCUGCUUAUCAUUAUUAAGGCGACACCGCUCCUUAUACUACAGGGCAGUAUCAAUACUCGUAGGACCUUCAUUAUUAGGGUGGUUACCCUUAGUAUCAGGGAGGUUUAUGCCUUAUCAGCCACAUUCAGCAGGUAGAUCCCGGUGGUACUAGGGGGACAUCCCCAACAGGUAGAAAUUGCUGCUAGCAGUGCAGGAUCUUUAAGGUAGUCUGGUUAGCCAAGACAAGGAAGAGGCAUUCAUGCUAAUAGAGGUCCUGGUGGACGACAACAGAAUCAGGGACGUAUCCAUAACAUGGUACUGCAAGAUACUCAGAACAAUCCUGAUUUAAUCAUGGGUACAUUAAAUGUUCUUGGUCAUUUUGCUAGAGUAUUGAUUGAUUGUGGUGCUACGCAUUCUGUUGUUUCUCAUACAUUUGCUGAAAUGACCCAACCUCAUCCUACACCUCUAGGAUAUGAUUUAGAGUUUUCUAUGCCUAGAGGGGAGAGAUGUUAUGUUGAUUGAGCAUAUCCAGGAUGUCCAGUGAUGGUGGAUGAUGUUGUUAUGCCAACUAACCUUAUUCCGUUAGACAGUUGAUUUUGAUGUGAUUUUGGGCACUGAUUGGUUACACUGCAAUCGUGCCAAGAUAGAUUGCUAUGGAAAGACAGUUACUUUUUAUCGUCCUGGAUUGCCUGAACUUACAUUUGUAGAGAUGUGGAGUUCGCUAUUAAUCUGCUUCUAGGUACGGAUCCUAUAUUUUUUACUCCUUAUAAAAUGGCUCAUGCUGAAUUAAGGGAAUUGAAAGUUCAGUUGCAAGAAUUAGUGGAUAAAAUUUUUAUUCAGCCUAGUACUUCACCUUGGGGAGCUCCAGUUUUAUUUGUGAGGAAGAAGGACGAAACUUUGAGGCUAUGUAUUGAUUACAUGCAAUUGAAUCGGGUAACAAUUAAGAACCGUUAUCCAUUGCCACGUAUAGAUGAUUUGUUUGAUUAACUCCGAGGUGCCUGUGUGUUCUCUAAGAUUGACUUAAGGUCUAGUUUCUACCAGUUGAAGAUUAAAAGUGAAGAUGUCCCGAACAGCAUUCAGGACUCGGUAUGGUCAUUAUGAGUUUCUUGUGAUGUCGUUGGGUUAACUUAUGCACCAGCAGCUUUCAUGGAUUUAAUGAAUCGAGUAUUCCAGCCAUAUUUGGACAGGUUUGUCAUUGUCUUCAUUGAUGAUAUUCUGGUAUACUCUAAGACUAGAGCAGAGCAUGCUAGACAUCUUAAAUUGGUGUUGAAAAGUUUGAGGGAACAACAGUUAUAUGCUAAGUUCAGCAAAUGCCAAUUCUGGUUAGGUCAAGUGGCAUUUUUAGGACAUGUUAUAUCAGCUCAAGGCAUUCGAGUGGAUUCUCAAAAAGUGGCAGCUAUGGAGGAUUGGGAGCAACCUCGAACUGUCACUAAGGUACGGAGUUUUCUUGGCCUAGCAGGCUAUUAUAGACGGUUUGUUAAGGAUUUUUCAGUCAUUGCUUUUCCAUUAACGAGGUUGACUAGAAAAGAGGUUAAGUUUGAUUGGGAUGAUAAUUGUGAGCAAAGUUUUCAGCAGUUGAAGUAUUAUCUCACUCAUGCACCUGUUUUAGCACUCCCAGAUGAUAGUGGUAAUUUUGAGGUCUACAAUGAUGCUUCUUUGAAUGGUCUGGGUUGUGUAUUGAUGCAACACGGUAGGGUGAUUGCUUAUGCUUCGAGACAGUUGAAACCUCACGAGAAGAAUUACCCUACUCAUGAUCCAGAGUUAGCGGCUAUCAUAUUUCCUCUGAAGAUUUGGAGACAUUAUCUUUAUGGUGAAAAAUGUAAGAUCUUAAUGGAUCAUAAGAGUCUUCAGUAUCUGUUUACUCAGAAGGAUCUAAAUCUUCGGCAGCGGAGAUGGAUUGAGUUACUUAGCGAUUAUGAUUGCACGAUUGAGUAUCACCCUGGUCGUACAAAUGUAGUGGCAGAUGCACUUAUUAGGAAGACUCCAGCUAGACUUAAUGCCAUCUAUGAUUGUCAUGUUCCUCUUCUUGCCGAUUUGAGGUCCACUGGAGUAAAGUUAGGAGUGGAAGAUCGAGAGAAAGCCUUACUUGCGAAUUUUCAAGUUAGGCCAAUUUUAAUUGAUCGCAUGCUUGAAGCUCAGAUGAUUGAUGAAGAUACCCAGGAAAUAAUUCAAGCAAGAAAUCGAGGCAAGAAGAAAGAUUUUAGAAUUCGAGAAACUGAUGGCAUGCUUAUGCAAGAAAACAGAAUGUAUAUGCUGAAUAAUGCAGAGUUAAAGAAAGAAAUCCUUGAUGAAGCACAUAUUUCGGCAUAUGCAAUGCAUCCAGAAGGUACCACGAUGUAUCAUACCAUUCGACCAUUUUAUUAUUGGCCGGGUAUGAAAAGAGAAGUUGUUGAAUAUGUGAGUAGGUGUGUCAUUUGUCAGCAAGUUAAAGCAGAAAGAAAUAAACCUUUUGGAUUGAUGCAGCCACUUCCCCUUCCACAGUGGAAAUGGGAAAAUAUUACUAUGGAUUUUGUGUACAAACUUCCUUGUACACAUAAUGGUUAUGACGGCAUUUGGGUGAUAGUUGAUCGGCUCACUAAGUCAGCACACUUUAUUCUAGUGCGGGAAAAAUAUUCAUUAAGUCGAUUAGCUAAGUUAUUGAUAUCGAAGAUUGUGAAGUACCAUGGUGUUCCAAUUGAUAUUAUUUCGGAUCGAGACCCUAGAUUCACUUCUAAGUUCUGGGUAGCGUUCCAGGACGCUCUUGGUACAAGAUUACUUUAUAGUACGGCAUAUCAUCCUCAAACAGAUGGACAAUCUGAGAGGACUAUUCAGACAUUAGAGAAUAUGCUGAGAUAUUCAGUGCUGCAAUUUGGCGAUGGUUGGCAUGAUUGUUUGGGUUUGAUGGAGUUCGCCUACAAUAACAAUUAUCAUUCGAGUAUUGGUAUGGCACCAUUUGAGGCACUUUAUGGCAAGUAUUGUUGAACGCCAUUAUGCUAGUCAGAAGUUGGUGAAAGAGUUUUGGUGGGCCCGGAGAUUGUGGAUGAAACUACUUAGAAUAUUCAGGUAAUUAAGUCUAACCUGAAAGUGGCCCAGGAUCGACAAAAGAGCUUAGCAGACAAGCAUGCCACUGACUGGAUGUACAAUGUAGGUGAUUGGGUAUUUCUAAAGCUAUCACUAUGGAAAUGUGUUGUGCGGUAUGGAAAGAAAUGCAAGCUGAGUCCUACGUACAUUGGACCAUAUAUGAUCACCGAGCAAGUUGGUGAGGUUGCUUAUACACUUGAGUUGCCUCCAGAGUUAUCAAGAAUGCAUGAUGUGUUUUAUGUUUUAAUGCUUUGACAUUAUGUUGCAGAUCCUUCACAUGUGAUUCCUCCUCAACCAUUGGAAAUUAAUUCGGAUUUAACUUACGACGAUGAGCUGGUGACUAUUUUGGAUUGGAAAGAUAAGGAGUUGAGGAAUAAGACAGUGCAUCUGGUGAAAGUUCUAUGAAGAAAUCACUCAGUGGAAGAGGCUACUUGGGAGACAGAGGAUCGGAUGAGAGAGAUGUAUUGGUAUGGCACCAUUUGAGGCACUUUAUGGCAAAUCUUGUCAAACGCCAUUAUGCUAGUCAGAAGUUGGUGAAAAAGUUUUGGUGGGCCCGGAGAUUGUGGAUGAAACUAUUAAGAAUAUUCAGGUAAUUAAGUCUAACUUGAAAACGGCCCAGGAUCGAUAAAAGAGCUUAGCAGACAAGCAUGCCACUGACCAAAUGUAUAAUGUAGGUGAUUGGGUAUUUCUAAAGCUAUCACCAUGGAAAUGUGUUGUGCGGUAUGGAAAGAAAGGAAAGCUAAGUUCUAGGUACAUUGGACCAUAUAUGAUCACCGAGCGAGUCGGUGAAGUUACUUAUAGACUUGAGUUGCUUCCAGAGUUAUCAAGAGUGCAUGAUGUGUUUUAUGUUUCAAUGCUUCGACAUUAUGUUGCAGAUCAUUCAUAUGUGAUUCCUCCUCAACCAUUGGAAAUUAAUUCGGAUUUGACUUACGACGAGGAGCCAAUGACUAUUUUGGAUUGGAAAGAUAAGGAGCUGAGGAAUAAGACAGUGCAUCUGGUGAAAGUUCUAUGGAGAAAUCACUCAAUGGAAGAGGCUACUUGGGAGACAGAUGAUGGGAUGAGAGAGAUGUAUCCACACUUGUUUUAUGACUAUUAGUGGAUGUAUUUGUUGUGUAUAAUUUCGAGGAUGAAAUUUUAUAAGGUAGGUAGAUUGUCACAGCUCGUCCCGGAAUAUUUAGUUUCAACGGUGUGAAAUGACGGUUUUAUCCUUGGACGUUGAGAUUGUGAUGUGUGUGACAUGCUUUUGGGAUGUAGACCAAUAUGUUGAGUUUCUAAGUUUUGGACUCAAUUAAAAUUUAAACUUUUGUUUGUUUUGGUUGGUGACCAAGUGAAGACACACACACACACACACAAAAACAACCUCGUGCACACUCUCUCCUUCUCAUUCUCUCGGCUUUCCUACCAUUUCUGUACAAAACGUACGGAUGAACACCAAACUCACAUUUCCAAACGGAACGACGUCAAGAAGGUAAGAUUCGAACUCUUUGCAAGUCUCUGAGUUCAUGUAUGCCAUUUUUAGAUCGUGAAACCCUCAAAACCCCAAGAAACCAUCACCCCCAAUUUGAGUAUUGUUCAUGUGGUCGUAAUUAUGGAUGUUUCAAGGGAUUUUAAGCUCAUAGGAAGCUUUAGGAUGUUCUUACGAAGCUCGGAGAAGAAAAACCAAGAAAUUGGACGUCGGGAAGUCGAGUUUGGCGAGUUUGAAAGUUGGCUGGAAUUAUCGUGCCUUCUCCGGCGAGAUCCCGUGAUUUUUAUAGCUUGAAAUUGGUAAGAAUGUGUUCUACUCAUUUUAAGCUUCAAUUUGGUUUAAGUUUCAUGAAUUUUGGUGCAAAAAUGAAGAAGUUAGAAGGAUUUUUAGAUUUUCCAGUUUCCGGCGACGACGACGGUCGUCGGAGUUCGAAGGUAGGAGAUGACGGAAUAUUCCGUCAAUUUUGAUGAAAUAUUCCUAAUGGCGACUAACGGCGUUAGUUAAAUUUAACAGAAUAUUCCUUAAAUUUAAGGGAAUAUUCCUAACGGCCAUUAGGCCUCAGUUAAGGUUUGGCCGCGCAUGGGGGCGCGUAGGGCCGUGCCCUUGCCCGCGCAUGAUGGCGCUUGAGGGCUCCAAAAAUUAUUUUAAAAAUUUGGGCGUGUUCCUGAGGUUGUGUAGAUCACGUUGGUAUAUUUAAACACCCCAUUUGAGCAAUGUAUGUGAAGUUAUUAGCCAGUAUUGGUUAUGUACUUUAAAUUAACGUUUUUAUAGUUGUUUCGCAUAUAGGGGAGACUUAUCCCGAGGACGAGUGCAGUCAAGGGUUACUUGUUGGCUACGACCCUUCGACAUACCAGUGAGUGGACUUUUGGUUUUAAUAUAUAUGUAUAUGCUUGGUAUCUUUCCUAGAAAAUGCAUUUAAAUGAGUUAUGACUUAAAUUGCCAUGCCAAAUGUUUUACAUUUAGAAUAUGCAUAUGAUGUUUGCAUAUAUAUAUAUAUAAUUGUGGUGCUGUGGACGCUCAGGUAAGUCCCAGGUGAGUUUAUGAAUUGUGAAUGUGAAUAACGGUUGUGAUUAAAUGGGGAACAUUAAGCUCAUAAACCUGCACUCCGGUGUUAGUGAUUUAACCAGAGAUAUGGCACAGACCUGUAUAUAAUGUCACCUCCUGCACCAUAUGCUCACAUUGGAUCCAAGUUAGGUGCACAGUCUUGUCGUACAAACCAUUCUAUGUGGUUCCGACUCGUAGGUGACUAGCGAUUUAUCGCACAGUUAUAAUGAGAAUGUAGUAAGGAGCAUAGUUAUAUUACACCCAGUCCUGUCGUACAAACUAUUACAGUGGUUCCGACUCGUGUGCAGUGUAGUGCCGUAUAGGUUACUUGCAGUGACUCCGGCUAGAUUGACUAGUGAGCUAUGAAUUCAGCCGUAUAUACCUCUGCAAGGAUUCCGGCUAAUAUGUUAUUUUUCCAUGAAUUUAUUAUCACCUAAGUCACUUAUUCUGUUUCAUAUUUUGGCAUGGCAUACUUAUGAAAUUGGAUAUGUGAAGCAUGAAUUGAAAUAUAUGAGUAUAUAUACUUAUAUAUUUAUAUUCCAUUUCUGGGAAAAUUAUACAUGUUUUACGGCGAGGGGUUAAAGUAUUUGAUAAUGAAAUGGUUUUGAAAAGCUUUGUUUUUGCCCACUCACACUUUCUGUUUUGCGCCCCACCAGGUUUUAGAUAAACUUGUUCGUUGGUGGUUCACGAGGAUUGACUGGAGGUUCUGAUAGACUAUCACAAAUGUAGGGCAUAUUUGGGUGUCGUUUAAUUAGUGCUUGUUUUCUGGACUGAACUUAGGCUACUUAUGCUCUGAUUGUGUAUUCACACAUUUUCUAGCACUUAUCUUAGCUAGUACUCUUAUGAAUUGGUUUUUAAUUAUUCGUAUUCUCUAUUAUCAUUAUUGCUUCCGCACUGUGCACAUGGCUACGUCACCCUCACGUGACGGCCAACAUGCCCUGAUUUGGGUCGGGGUGUGUCAUUUAACCGAACUAUUGGAGUUGGUAUAAUAGAUAUAGAGAUCACCAACACAUGUUGGCCUUAUCUUUAUUAAAAAAAAAUGAUACAAAUAUAAUAUAAAAAAUGUGGUAAAAAUAAUAUUUUUGUUUAUAAAGUGCCCGUAGUUGUUGGUAAGAUUCUUAAUUACCAAAAAAUGAGUGAUGUUAUGAGAAUCACAUUUCACAUCUAACUCAUCUAUCAAAAAGACAUGGGGGCGUACACAAUAAAUGAUUUAGUAUUCGUCAACAGUGAAAAAAAAGAAAAGAAAAAAGAUGCAUGGUUUAGUAUUCGUCAACUGUAAAUUAGAGCAUCUUUAAUAGAAGAUACAAAAUAUUUUAGAGGUUUUUUAGCUAAAAUGAUUUAUGAGAUUUGUUUAACAUGGUUUAGUAUUCGUCAAUUGUAAAUUAGAGCAUCUUCAAUGGAAGAUAGAAAAUAUUUUAGAGGCUUUUUAGCCAAAAUAGUCUAUGAAAUUUGCUUAACUCCUCACUUUGGUUCCUAAGAUUUGAAAUCAAUAUAAAUGAUCCUUGAGAUUGUCUACCAUUAAUUAUUUUGGUCAUUCAGUGAAUAGUUAUGUUAAAUAAAAAUUUAAAUGACAAAACUACCCGUAAUUUAGUAAACAAUAGGCCAAAAUAAUUUGACAAAAAUUGAGGGUAUUUUUGUCAUUUUAUCCUUAUUUAAUGGAGAUUUUUCAUCAAAGAACCAAAAUGAUUGAUGGUGGACCAACUUAGUAACUAAUUCUAUCGAUUUCAAAUCUCAAAGACUAAAGUGAGGAGUUAUGCAAAUCUCAGAAAUCAUUUUAGCUAAAAAGCCUACUUUAAAUAUGCAUUGUACAUUUGUCGUUGGUUUGACAAUUCUAACAAAAAGGAUAUAAGUAAAUGGUGGUUUAUCCACGAACCCAUUAUUAUUUUUUACACACCCCUCUAAAUUUUCGGUUAUCUGAUCGAAUAAAUUGAUGAAGAUUAGUGGACAAAAAUUAACACAGUGUAUGAAAGGUAAAAAGAGGAGGGUAAAUAACACCAACCUAAUUAAAUAAAAAUAUAAAACCAAAAAAAAAUUAAAAAAAGAAAAAAGAAAAGUAAACGAAAUUUCAAAUCACAUCUUUGAUUUUUACAUCUUCCAAAAAUAUAAAAUGAAUUAUAAAUUAUAUCUUAGUUGGAAAGCUCCAACAUCUACUACUCAUGUUAAUUAAAAAACACCUUUUUCCUUGUAUUAAUAUGAUGUUUUCAACUUGAGAGAUUUUCUCGGAACACCACAUAAUGUUACACAAUUGAACGGAGACUUAAAAAAAAAUAUUUUCAAUUGUAUAAUGACAUGUGAUGUUUUAUCUGAUGCUCCGAAUACAUUGAAUAAAAACUCUCUUUGAACUGAUUUAAACAGUUGAUUAUCUUGUCCACAAGUGCUUUUGUUGGGGAAAUUUUUUAGUAUGCUGAAACACUAUUUUAUACACUGAGUGUUAUGAGUAAUUUUUUUUGUUGGGGAAAUCUUUGAUGUAUCUCGUCUUCUUUCACUGAAAAAUAUAUGUUGGUCCAAAAGUCUUCGCAACAUGGUCCACUUGUUAAACACCGUGCAGACACUAAUUGUCCUUUUCUGUAAUCUGAAUGUAUAUAUAAGUUAGAGAACCAACACCAACACCAACACCAAAACCACUUCCUUGCUCGCUUCCUCUCUCUCUCUCUCUCUCAUUGUCAGUUACGUUAAACUCGCAAUGGAGCAGCUCAAUCCCAGCCCUGCAAAUCUCUGCCCUCUCACUCCCCUCACCCUGCUAGAAAGGGCAGCCAUCGUCUACGGCGACUGCCCCUCCGUCGUCUACACCACCACCACCUACACGUGGUCCCAAACACACCGCCGAUGCCUCCAGCUGGCCUCCUCCCUCUCAUCCCUCCUCGGCAUCAAACGCUCCCAAGUCGUCUCUGUAAUCUCGCCCAACACCCUUGCCAUGUACGAGCUCCACUUCGCCGUCCCCAUGGCAGGAGCCAUCCUCAACACCAUCAACACCCGCCUCGACGCCCGCACCGUCUCCGUCAUCCUCCGCCACAGCGAAUCAAAACUCAUCUUCGUCGACCACCUCUUUGCCUCUCUCGUACUGGAAGCCCUCUCGCUCUUCCCACCUCAGCUUCCUCGUCCCCAACUCGUCCUCAUCACCGAUCAUCCGAAGGACGGAUCAAUUCCUACCGUCGAUCAUUUCAUCGACACUUACGAGAGUCUAGUGCGAAAAGGGGAUCCUUUGUUUAAGUGGGUCCGGCCGGUUUCCGAGUGGGACCCAAUCGUUUUAAACUACACGUCCGGAACGACGUCGGCUCCGAAGGGGGUUGUGCAUUGCCACAGAGCCGUUUACAACGUGGCCCUGAGUUCCCUCACGGACUGGUCCGUGCCCAAAAACUGCGUCUACCUAUGGACCCUACCGAUGUUCCACGCAAACGGGUGGUGCUUCCCGUGGGCCAUGGCCGCCGUCGGCGGGACAAACAUUUGCGUCCGCAAAUUCGAUGGCCCAAAAAUCUACGAAUUAAUCGAAGAUAACGGCGUCACCCACAUGUGCGCCGCGCCCGUCGUGCUCAACAUGCUCAUCAACACCCGGAGGUCCGACCCGCUCCGAAACCCAGUUAACAUUCUUACCGGUGGGGCUCCGCCGCCUUCGAGCGUCUUGCUCCGGGCCGAGUCGAUCGGGUUCGUAGUGGGUCACGGGUACGGGAUGACCGAGACAGCGGGGGUCGUGCUGUCAUGCGCAUGGAAGCCGGAGUGGAACAAACUCCCGGCGAUGGAGCAGGCGAGGCUGAAAGCGAGGCAGGGAGUGAUGACGAUCGGCAUGACGGAGGCGGAUGUGGUGAAUCCGGAUUCAGGUUUGAGUGUGAAUCGGGACGGGUUGGAAAUCGGGGAGAUAGUUUUGAGAGGCGGGUGCCUGAUGCUCGGGUAUCUGAAGGAUGCAGCGGGAACUGCCAACUGCAUGAAAGACGGCUGGUUUUAUACAGGUGACGUGGGGGUGAUGCAUCCCGACGGCUAUUUGGAAAUCAAGGACAGAUCCAAGGACGUUAUUAUAAGCGGGGGUGAGAACAUGAGCAGCGUGGAGGUCGAGUCCGUGCUGUAUGGGAACCCAGCUGUCAAUGAGGCGGCGGUCGUGGCGAGGCCCGACGAGUUUUGGGGGGAGACGCCGUGCGCGUUCGUGAGCCUGAAGAGUGACGUCAGCCCAAAGCCAACGGAGA
rnacentral:lncRNA from 1 species